rnacentral:rRNA from 1 species
GAUGAACGCUAGCUACAGGCUUAACACAUGCAAGUCGAGGGGCAGCGCAGUGUAGCAAUACAUGGGCGGCGACCGGCGCACGGGUGCGUAACGCGUAUCCAACCUUCCCGUUACUCAGGGAUAGCCUUCCGAAAGGGAGAUUAAUACCUGAUGGUGUUUGAAUUCCGCAUGUUAUUCAAACUAAAGAUUUAUCGGUAACGGAUGGGGAUGCGUGACAUUAGGUAGAUGGCGGGGUAACGGCCCACCAUGCCUACGAUGUCUAGGGGUUCUGAGAGGAAGGUCCCCCACACUGGAACUGAGACACGGUCCAGACUCCUACGGGAGGCAGCAGUGAGGAAUAUUGGUCAAUGGUCGGAAGACUGAACCAGCCAAGUAGCGUGAAGGAUGAAGGUUCUAUGGAUUGUAAACUUCUUUUAUACGGGAAUAAAACCUCCCACGUGUGGGAGCUUGUAUGUACCGUAUGAAUAAGCAUCGGCUAACUCCGUG